rnacentral:rRNA from 1 species
AGAGUUUGAUCCUGGCUCAGGACGAACGCUGGCGGCGCGCCUAACACAUGCAAGUCGAACGAGCGAGAGAGAGCUUGCUUUCUCGAGCGAGUGGCGAACGGGUGAGUAACGCGUGAGGAACCUGCCUCAAAGAGGGGGACAACAGUUGGAAACGACUGCUAAUACCGCAUAAGCCCACAGCUCGGCAUCGAGCAGAGGGAAAAGGAGCAAUCCGCUUUGAGAUGGCCUCGCGUCCGAUUAGCUAGUUGGUGAGGUAAUGGCCCACCAAGGCGACGAUCGGUAGCCGGACUGAGAGGUUGAACGGCCACAUUGGGACUGAGACACGGCCCAGACUCCUACGGGAGGCAGCAGUGGGGAAUAUUGCACAAUGGGGGAAACCCUGAUGCAGCGACGCCGCGUGGAGGAAGAAGGUCUUCGGAUUGUAAACUCCUGUUGUUGAGGAAGAUAAUGACGGUACUCAACAAGGAAGUGACGGCUAACUACGUGCCAGCAGCCGCGGUAAAACGUAGGUCACAAGCGUUGUCCGGAAUUACUGGGUGUAAAGGGAGCGCAGGCGGGAAGACAAGUUGGAAGUGAAAUCUAUGGGCUCAACCCAUAAACUGCUUUCAAAGCUGUUUUUCUUGAGUAGUGCAGAGGUAGGCGGAAUUCCCGGUGUAGCGGUGGAAUGCGUAGAUAUCGGGAGGAACACCAGUGGCGAAGGCGGCCUACUGGGCACCAACUGACGCUGAGGCUCGAAAGUGUGGGUAGCAAACAGGAUUAGAUACCCUGGUAGUCCACACCGUAAACGAUGAUUACUAGGUGUUGGAGGAUUGACCCCUUCAGUGCCGCAGUUAACACAAUAAGUAAUCCACCUGGGGAGUACGACCGCAAGGUUGAAACUCAAAGGAAUUGACGGGGGCCCGCACAAGCAGUGGAGUAUGUGGUUUAAUUCGACGCAACGCGGAGAACCUUACCAAGUCUUGACAUCCCUUGACGAUACUGGAAACAGUAUUUCUCUUCGGAGCAAGGAGACAGGUGGUGCAUGGUUGUCGUCAGCUCGUGUCGUGAGAUGUUGGGUUAAGUCCCGCAACGAGCGCAACCCUUACUGUCAGUUACUACGCAAGAGGACUCUGGCAGGACUGCCGUUGACAAAACGGAGGAAGGUGGGGAUGACGUCAAAUCAUCAUGCCCUUUAUGACUUGGGCUACACACGUACUACAAUGGCGUUAAACAAAGAGAAGCAAGACCGCGAGGUGGAGCAAAACUCAGAAACAACGUCCCAGUUCGGACUGCAGGCUGCAACUCGCCUGCACGAAGUCGGAAUUGCUAGUAAUCGUGGAUCAGCAUGCCACGGUGAAUACGUUCNCCGGGCCCUUGUACACACCGCCCGUNNC